GACGAACGCUGGCGGCGUGCUUAACACAUGCAAGUCGAGCGGAAAGGCCCUUCCGGGGGUACUCGAGCGGCGAACGGGUGAGUAACACGUGAGUACUCUGCCCUGUGCUUUGGGAUAGCCACCGGAAACGGUGAUUAAUCCCGGAUACGACCAACCUACGCAGGUGGUGUUGGUGGAAAGUUUUGCGGCGCAGGAUUGACUCGCGGCCUAUCAGCUUGUUGGUGGGGUAAUGGGCUACCACGGCUUCGACGGGUAGGCGGCGUGAGAGGGUGACCGGCCACACUGGGACUGAGACACGGCCCAGACUCCUACGGGAGGCAGCAGUGGGGAAUAUUGGACAAUGGGCGGAAGCCUGAUCCAGCAACGCCGGGUGAGGGAUGACGGCCUUCGGGUUGUAAACCUCUUUCAGCACCGACGAAGCGAGAGUGACGGUAGGUGCAGAAGAAGGACCGGCCAACUACGUGCCAGCCGCCGCCGUAAGAC
rnacentral:rRNA from 1 species